rnacentral:rRNA from 1 species
GAGUUGCGAACGGGUGAGUAACGCGUAGGUAACCUGCCUAUUAGAGGGGGAUAACUAUUGGAAACGAUAGCUAAUACCGCAUAACAGUAUGUAACACAUGUUAGAUGCUUGAAAGAUGCAAUUGCAUCGCUAGUAGAUGGACCUGCGUUGUAUUAGCUAGUAGGUAGGGUAAAGGCCUACCUAGGCAACGAUACAUAGCCGACCUGAGAGGGUGAUCGGCCACACUGGGACUGAGACACGGCCCAGACUCCUACGGGAGGCAGCAGUAGGGAAUCUUCGGCAAUGGGGGGAACCCUGACCGAGCAACGCCGCGUGAGUGAAGAAGGUUUUCGGAUCGUAAAGCUCUGUUGUUAAGGAAGAACGAGUGUGAGAAUGGAAAGUUCAUGCUGUGACGGUACUUAACCAGAAAGGGACGGCUAACUACGUGCCAGCAGCCGCGGUAAUACGUAGGUCCCGAGCGUUGUCCGGAUUUAUUGGGCGUAAAGCGAGCGCAGGCGGUUAGAAAAGUCUGAAGUGAAAGGCAGUGGCUCAACCAUUGUAGGCUUUGGAAACUGUUUAACUUGAGUGCAGAAGGGGAGAGUGGAAUUCCAUGUGUAGCGGUGAAAUGCGUAGAUAUAUGGAGGAACACCGGUGGCGAAAGCGGCUCUCUGGUCUGUAACUGACGCUGAGGCUCGAAAGCGUGGGGAGCGAACAGGAUUAGAUACCCUGGUAGUCCACGCCGUAAACGAUGAGUGCUAGGUGUUGGGUCCUUUCCGGGACUCAGUGCCGCAGCUAACGCAUUAAGCACUCCGCCUGGGGAGUACGACCGCAAGGUUGAAACUCAAAGGAAUUGACGGGGGCCCGCACAAGCGGUGGAGCAUGUGGUUUAAUUCGAAGCAACGCGAAGAACCUUACCAGGUCUUGACAUCCCGAUGCUAUUUCUAGAGAUAGGAAGUUUCUUCGGAACAUCGGUGACAGGUGGUGCAUGGUUGUCGUCAGCUCGUGUCGUGAGAUGUUGGGUUAAGUCCCGCAACGAGCGCAACCCUUAUUGUUAGUUGCCAUCAUUGAGUUGGGCACUCUAGCGAGACUGCCGGUAAUAAACCGGAGGAAGGUGGGGAUGACGUCAAAUCAUCAUGCCCCUUAUGACCUGGGCUACACACGUGCUACAAUGGCUGGUACAACGAGUCGCAAGCCGGUGACGGCAAGCUAAUCUCUGAAAGCCAGUCUCAGUUCGGAUUGUAGGCUGCAACUCGCCUACAUGAAGUCGGAAUC